rnacentral:rRNA from 1 species
UACGUAGGGGGCCAGCGUUGUCCGGACUUACUGGGCGUAAAGCGCGCGCAGGUGGACGAGUAUGUGCCGUGUGAAAGCGCCGUCCUUACGAUGGUGAGGUCAUGGUAGACAGCUUGUCUAGAGGCUCGAAGAGGUCGAUGGAAUUCCGCGUGUAGCAGUGAAAUGCGUAGAUAUGCGGAGGAACACCGAUGGCGAAGGCAAUCCCCUGGGCCUGCACUGACGCUCAUGCACGAAAGCGUGGGGAGCAAACAGG